UGGGAGCUGAACGAUGAAAACACAUGGAC
rnacentral:piRNA from 1 species